rnacentral:rRNA from 1 species
GAUGAACGCUAGCGGCAGGCUUAAUACAUGCAAGUCGUGGGGCAGCAUGAGUAGCAAUACUUGAUGGCGACCGGCAAACGGGUGAGGAACACGUACACAACCUUCCUUCAAGCGGGGAAUAGCCCAGAGAAAUUUGGAUUAAAUACCCCAUAAUAUAUUUGAUAAGGCAUCUUAUUAAUAUUAAAGCUUCGGCACUUGAUGAUGGGUGUGCGGCUGAUUAGAUAGUUGGCGGGGUAACGGCCCACCAAGUCUACGAUCAGUAGCUGAUGUGAGAGCAUGAUCAGCCACACGGGCACUGAGACACGGGCCCGACUCCUACGGGAGGCAGCAGUAAGGAAUAUUGGACAAUGGACGAAAGUCUGAUCCAGCCAUGCCGCGUGAAGGAUUAAGGUCCUCUGGAUUGUAAACUUCUUUUAUAUGGGACGAAAAAGGGCAUUCUUGUUCACUUGACGGUACCAUAUGAAUAAGCACCGGCUAACUCCGUGCCAG